rnacentral:rRNA from 1 species
AAGGCAGCAGGCACGCAAAUUACCCACUCCCGGCACGGGGAGGUAGUGACAAAAAAUAACGAUACGGGACUCAUCCGAGGCCCCGUAAUCGGAAUGAGUACACUUUAAAUCCUUUAACAAGGAUCCAAUGGAGGGCAAGUCUGGUGCCAGCAGCCGCGGUAAUUCCAGCUCCAUUAGCGUAUAUUAAAGUUGUUGCGGUUAAAAAGCUCGUAGUUGGUUCUGCGUCCCACGAUGCUGGUUCACCGCCUGACGGUGCAACUGGCAUGCCGUGGGAUGUCCUGUCGGUGGUGGCCUUGGCCCACGGCGCGUGUAGGUACUAUACCGAAGCACGUCGUGUGUCGCCAAGGAUCGCCGAUCCAAUCCUGCCUCGGUGCUUUUUAUCGAGUGUCGAGGUGGGCCGACACGUUUACUUUGAACAAAUUAGAGUGCUCAAAGCAGGCUAAUUAUGCCUGGAUAUUGGUGCAUGGAAUAAUGGAAUAGGACCUCGGUUCUAUUUUGUUGGUUUUCGGAACCCGAGGUAAUGAUCAAUAUGGACAGGCGGGGGCAUUCGUAUUGCGACGUUAGAGGUGAAAUUCUUGGAUCGUCGCAAGACGGACUAGAGCGAAAGCAUUUGCCAAGUAUGUCUUAGUUGAUCAAGAACGAAAGUUAGAGGUUCGAAGGCGAUCAGAUACCGCCCUAGUUCUAACCAUAAACGAUGCCAGCCAGCGAUCCGCCGAUGUUCCUCCGAUGACUCGG